rnacentral:rRNA from 1 species
AUUGAACGCUGGCGGCAUGCCUAACACAUGCAAGUCGCGCGGGCUGUAGCAAUACAGCUAGCGGCGGACGGGUGAGGAUUACAUCGGAAUUUGCCUUUAGGUGGGGGAUAGCCCAGGGAAACUUGUAGUAAUACUGCAUGAUGUCGUGAGACCAACGCAGGGGAUCACAAGACCUUGCGCCUUUAGCGAAGCCGAUGUCUGAUUAGCUAGUUGGUAGGGUAACGGCCUACCAAGGGAACGAGCAGUAGCUGGCCUGAGAGGACGAUCAGCCACACCGGAACUGAGACACGGUCCGGACUCCUACGGGAUGCAGCAGUGGAGAAUAUUUGACAAUGGGCGCAAGCCUGAUCCAGCAAUGCCGCGUGUGUGAAGAAGGCCUUCGUGUUGUAAAGCACUUUAAGCUGAGAAGUAAAAAUCGGAACUAACAUUUCCGGUCUUGACGGUACCAGAAGAAUAAGCACCGGCUAACUCUGUGCCAGCAGCCGCGGUAAGAC